CACGGGUGAGUAACACGUAUCCAACCUGCCGUCUACUCUUGGACAGCCUUCUGAAAGGAAGAUUAAUACAAGAUGGCAUCAUGAGUCCGCAUGUUCACAUGAUUAAAGGUAUUCCGGUAGACGAUGGGGAUGCGUUCCAUUAGAUAGUAGGCGGGGUAACGGCCCACCUAGUCUUCGAUGGAUAGGGGUUCUGAGAGGAAGGUCCCCCACAUUGGAACUGAGACACGGUCCAAACUCCUACGGGAGGCAGCAGUGAGGAAUAUUGGUCAAUGGGCGCAGGCCUGAACCAGCCAAGUAGCGUGAAGGAUGACUGCCCUAUGGGUUGUAAACUUCUUUUAUAAAGGAAUAAAGUCGGGUAUGGAUACCCGUUUGCAUGUACUUUAUGAAUAAGGAUCGGCUAACUCCGUGCCAGCAGCCGCGGUAAUACGGAGGAUCCGAGCGUUAUCCGGAUUUAUUGGGUUUAAAGGGAGCGUAGAUGGAUGUUUAAGUCAGUUGUGAAAGUUUGCGGCUCAACCGUAAAAUUGCAGUUGAUACUGGAUAUCUUGAGUGCAGUUGAGGCAGGCGGAAUUCGUGGUGUAGCGGUGAAAUGCUUAGAUAUCACGAAGAACUCCGAUUGCGAAGGCAGCCUGCUAAGCUGCAACUGACAU
rnacentral:rRNA from 1 species